rnacentral:rRNA from 1 species
CCUACGGGGGGCUGCAGUCGAGAAUCAUUCACAAUGGGGGAAACCCUGAUGGUGCGACGCCGCGUGGGGGAAUGAAGGUCUUCGGAUUGUAAACCCCUGUCAUGUGGGAGCAAAUUAAAACGAUCGUACCACAAGAGGAAGAGACGGCUAACUCUGUGCCAGCAGCCGCGGUAAUACAGAGGUCUCAAGCGUUGUUCGGCAUCACUGGGCGUAAAGCGUGCGUAGGCUGUUUCGUAAGUCGUGUGUGAAAGGCGCGGGCUCAACCCGCGGACGGCACAUGAUACUGCGAGACUAGAGUAAGGGAGGGGGAACCGGAAUGCUCGGUGUAGCAGUGAAAUGCGUAGAUAUCGAGAGGAACACUCGUGGCGAAGGCGGGUUCCUGGACAUUAACUGACGCUGAGGCACGAAGGCCAGGGGAGCGAAAGGGAUUAGAUACCCCUGUAGUC